UACGAAGGGUGCUAGCGUUGUUCGGAAUCACUGGGCGUAAAGCGCGCGUAGGUGGCUUCUCAAGUCAGGGGUGAAAUCCCACAGCUCAACUGUGGAACUGCCUUUGAAACUGUGAAGCUAGAGUGUCGGAGGGGAUAGCGGAAUUGCUAAUGUAGAGGUGAAAUUCGUAGAUAUUAGCAGGAACACCGGUGGCGAAGGCGGCUAUCUGGACGACAACUGACACUGAGGCGCGAAAGCGUGGGGAUCAAACAGG
rnacentral:rRNA from 1 species